ACUCCAUGGUGUGGACAUUUUCGUUGCAAAUCCUUGAAUCUUUCCCAUGCAUCAUGAAACGUUUCAUUGUCACGUUGCUUGAAGCUAAAAAUGUCAGUUCUCAGGUU
rnacentral:snoRNA from 1 species